rnacentral:misc_RNA from 1 species
GAUGAAGAACGUAGUGAAAUGCGAUAAGUAAUGUGAAUUGCAGAAUUCAGUGAAUCAUCGAAUCUUUGAACGCACAUUGCGCCCGCCAGUAUUCUGGCGGGCAUGCCUGUUCGAGCGUCAUUUCAACCAUCAAGCCCCCGGCUUGUGUUGGGGACCUGCGGCUGCCGCAGGCCCUGAAAAGCAGUGGCGGGCUCGCUGUCACACCGAGCGUAGUAGCAUACAUCUCGCUCUGGGCGUGCUGCGGGUUCCGGCCGUUAAACCACCUUCAUAACCCAAGGUUGACCUCGGAUCAGGUAGGAAGACCCGCUGAACUAAAGCAUAUCAAUAAGCGGAGGA